rnacentral:rRNA from 1 species
GACGAGUGGUCCAAGCGUUAGUCGGAAUUACUGGGCUUAAAGGGUGCGUAGGUGGACUUGUAAGUGUCUCGUGAAAGCCCCUGGCUCAACCAGGGAACCGCGGGGCAUACUGCAAGUCUUGAGGAAACUAGAGGCCGGCAGAACGAUAGGUGGAGCGGUGGAAUGCGUAGAGAUCUAACGGAAUGCCGAAGGUGAAGACAGCCGGCUGGGGUUUUCCUGACACUGAGGCACGAAAGCGUGGGGAGCAAACAGG